ACGAACGCUAGGCGGCGUGCUUAAAACAUGCAAGUCGAACGGUGACGAAGACUUUCGGUCUUCUUGAUCAAGUGGGCACACAGGGUGAGUAACACGUGAAUAAUCUGCCGGUCUGUGGGGGAUACCUUUUCGAAAGGAAAGUUAAUACCGCAUAGUGUGCAGCUUCUCGCAUGGGAGUUGCAGGAAAGCUUUAUGCGCAGAUCCGAGGAUAUUCCGCGACUAUCAGUUAGUUGGUUGGUGGUAAUUGGCGCACACAAGACGGACGACGGGUAGCCGGCCUGAGAGGGUGAUCGGCCACACUGGGACUGUAGACACGGUCCCAGACUCCUACGGGGGGGCAGCAGUUGGGAAUCUUGCGCAAUGGGGGGAAACCCUGACGCAGCGAUCGCCGCGUGCGGAGGAUGACAGUCUUCGGAUUGUAAACCGCUUUUUUCGGAGGACGAUAAUGACCGGUACUCGAAGAAUCAGCCCCGGCUAACUCCGUGCCAGCAGCCGCGGGUAAGACGGAGGGGGCAAGCGUUGUCCCGGAAUUACUGGGCGUAAGAGCUCGUAGGCGGUCGUGUACGGCGGGGUGAAAAGCUCCCGGCUUAGCUGGGAGAGGCCACCGCAACGGCAUGAACCUCGAGGAUGGUGUAGAGGCAGAUGGAAAUUCCUGUGUAGGCGGUGAAAUGAGUAGAGAUCAGGAGGAACACUCCAUGGCGAAGGCAGUCUUGCUGGGCCAGUUCUGACGCUGAGGAGCGAAAGCUAGGGGAGCGAACGGGAUUAGAUACCCCGGUAGGUCCUAGCCGUAAACGAUGGAUACUAGGUGUCAGCGGUAUCUGACCGCACGCUGGUGCGUAGCUAACGCGUUAAGUAUCCCGCCUGGGGAGUACGGCCGCAAGGUUGAAACAUCAAUGAAUUGACGGGGGCCCGCACAAGCGGUGGAGCAUGUGGUUUAAUUCGAUGCAACGCGAAGAACCUUACCAGGGCUUGACAUCUUGGGAACUUGCCUGAAAGGGCGAGGUGCUCGCAAGAGAGCCCAAAGACAGGUGGUGCAUGGCUGCUCGUCAGCUAUCGUGUCGUGAGAUGGUUGAGUUAGUUCCGCAACGAGCGCAACCCUCGUGGUAUGUUGCCCAGUAAUUCGGUUUGUGCACCUCAUACCAGACUGCUGCAGCAAUGUGGAGGAAGGUGGAGGAUGACGUCAAGUCAGCAUGCCCCGUACGCCCUGGGCUACACACAUGCUACAAUGCCAGAAGCAAACCGUUUGCCAACCCGUGAGGGGGGAGCUAAUCGGAAAAGGUCUGGCUCAGUGCGGAUUGUAGGCUGCAACGUACGCCUACAUGAAGUCGGAAUCGCUUAGUAAACCGUCGGUCAGCAUUACGCACGGUGAAUACGUUCCGGGCCCUUGUACACACCGCCCGUCAAGCGAUGAGAGUUGGCAAACCCGAAGCCGUUGGCCUAACCCGCAAGGGAGGGAGACGGCGAAGGUGGUGUCAGCGAUUGGCGCU
rnacentral:rRNA from 1 species